AAAGGAUACAACAACGCCAAUGAUGUAGAGGGUGAUCACCAUCAGGGCUAAGGCGAGAGCUGAGACUACACAUAUGCCCGCGGAUGCAGCGAGGGAGGAGAGCUGGGGUGCCAUGAUCAGCGCUAGCUGCUACUUGCUGAGAGUUUUGGACAGUGUUGUAGAAAAUUGGUAACUUGUUUUCAGAAUAUGUUCAUGGCUUGGGAGAAAAUUCCUAUGCGCUGAUCACUCGCCGAAUAUGAAUUUAUGUCUGCAAAUAGAGUUUGGACAACCACAAUUCAACUUCUCAUUCAUCAAAAAAUUGGUACUGGUAAAUUAUCCGCCGACAUGUUGGGGCAGACUGCAGUGCUGGCAAGUACAGUGCCCAUAAUUCUCUAAAUCUACUAUAGAGCAUUGUGGUAUGUUAUGAAUUAAUUUGCAUUGUUGUACCAGCAAACAGAAGAAAGGACAUCCGGAGAGGUAGUGACAUAGCUGAAUCGGUGGGCAUGGCUUCAGCAAAACUGAAUAUUGCAUCCUAAUUAACUGGAACGGCAACUUGACAGCAACACCUAUAUGACAUAGCUGCUAGAUUUAUCUGCUUGUAUACAUGUGCUAGGCCAACCUUUCUUAUGUGAGAGGGGGAAGAGUUCACCUCUUUGGAGGAUGAGAGUUUAGAGCCCGCAUAAGAAUAUUGUAUGGUACACGAGAUUUUGAAUCCAGAAGAUGCGCUGAGCCGGGUGAAGAUACCGUUCUCUCCCCGCUUUCCUCCUUUUGAACCCUAAUUCAUUUCCCCGCCUCCACCUUUCAGUUUUAUGCGGCAACUGGUUUUGGCGCACUAGUGACUUAAUUCAACCCGAGUUCCAUAUGGAGCUUAGCAGUCUAAGGCAUGAGCUUUGUGUCUGAGGUAUGAGCCACCCGACUUGUUGAUAGAAGCCUCGAAAAAGUGUUUGCAUAUCUCUCCUGUCCUUUCAUUAUGGUAUACUCUCUAUUUUUCUGGUUGUCUCUAAAACAUCUUAUAUUUAUGUACAGAUGGAGUAUCUCUUAUGGGCUCACGUAUAUGCCCGAUAAGAGAAUCAUUAGUUAGA